rnacentral:rRNA from 1 species
GUGGGGAAUUUUGGACAAUGGGCGCAAGCCUGAUCCAGCAAUGCCGCGUGCAGGAAGAAGGCCUUCGGGUUGUAAACUGCUUUUGUACGGAACGAAACGGUCCUGGCUAAUAUCCGGGGCUAAUGACGGUACCGUAAGAAUAAGCACCGGCUAACUACGUGCCAGCAGCCGCGGUAAUACGUAGGGUGCGAGCGUUAAUCGGAAUUACUGGGCGUAAAGCGUGCGCAGGCGGUGCUGUAAGACAGGCGUGAAAUCCCCGGGCUCAACCUGGGAAGUGGGCGUGUGACUGCAGGGCGGGAGUGCGGCAGAGGGGGAUGGAAUUCCGCGUGUAGCAGUGAAAUGCGUAGAGAUGCGGAGGAACACCGAUGGCGAAGGCAAUCCCCUGGGCCUGCACUGACGCUCAUGCACGAAAGCGUGGGGAGCAAACAGGAUUAGAAACCCGGGUAGUCC